rnacentral:rRNA from 1 species
AUGGCGCGGGCUCCCCUUCCCGGCCCAGCUCUGUCCCUCCUCUCCGUCAUCCUCCUCCUCGUCGGCCGCCGCGGAGCUGCCGGGGCCGGCGGCGGCGGCGGAGGCAGGGGCAGCUCCGUGUACCCGGCCCCCGUCGUCUACCCGCACCACUCCAGGCAGAUCUCCUGGUAUCCCAGGGCCUUCCUCUACCCGCACUUCCUCACCGACGACGAGGCCAACCACCUCGUCUCCCUCGCCAGGGCGGAGCUCAAGAGGUCGGCGGUCGCCGAUGACACGUCGGGCAAGAGCAAGCUCAGCGAGGUCCGCACCAGCUCCGGCACCUUCAUCAGCAAGGGCCAGGAUCCAAUUGUUGCUGGUAUAGAGGAUAAAAUUGCCGCAUGGACAUUUCUUCCAAAAGAGAACGGCGAAGAUAUGCAAGUUCUAAGAUAUAAGCGCGGUGAGAAGUAUGAACCGCACCAUGAUUUCUUCACCGACAGUGUUAACACUAUCCGCGGUGGACAUCGGGUAGCUACUGUACUUCUGUACUUAACAGACGUUGCAGAAGGAGGGGAAACUGUUUUCCCCUUAGCCAAGGCACGUAAAGGAUCACACCAUAAAGAUUUGUCAGAAUGUGCACAGAAAGGACUUGCAGUGAAACCACGAAAAGGGGACGCCCUUCUGUUCUUCAACCUUCGCCCAGACGCCGAGACAGAUCCGUCGAGCCUCCAUGGCGGAUGCGAGGUCAUCAAGGGGGAGAAAUGGUCGGCAACAAAAUGGAUCCGCGUGGCCUCGUUCGACAAGGUCUAUCACACGCCAGGCAAUUGCACGGACAACAGCAACAGCUGCUCGCAGUGGGCGGCGUUGGGAGAGUGCACAAAGAACCCAGCAUACAUGGUGGGGACCGUGGCGCUGCCCGGGCACUGUAGAAGGAGCUGCAACGUGUGUUAG